rnacentral:rRNA from 1 species
UACGAGGGGGGCGAGCGUUGUUCGGAAUUAUUGGGCGUAAAGGGUGCGUAGGCGGUUUGGUAAGUCUGAUGUGAAAUCUAUGGGCUCAACUCAUAGUCUGCAUCGGAAACUGCCGGGCUUGAGUGUGGGAGAGGUGAGUGGAAUUCCUGGUAUAGCGGUGAAAUGCGUAGAUAUCAGGAGGAACACCUGUGGCGAAAGCGGCUCACUGGACCAUAACUGACGCUGAUGCACGAAAGCUAGGGGAGCAAACAGG